rnacentral:rRNA from 1 species
AAUAUUGGACAAUGGGGGAAACCCUGAUCCAGCCAUGCCGCGUGUGUGAAGAAGGUCUUCGGUUUGUAAAGCACGUUUAGUUGGGAGGAAGGGUUGUUGGCUACUAUCCAGCACUUUUGACGUUACCGACAGAAUAAGCACUGGCUACCUCUGUGCCCGCAUCAGCGGUAAUACAGCGGGUGAAAGCGUUAAUCGGAAUUACUGAGCGUAAAGCGCGCGUAGGUGGUUCAGUAAGAUGGGUGUGAAAUCCCCGGGCCUAACCUGGGAACUGCUUUCAUAACUGCUGAGCUAGAGUACGGUAGAGGGUAGUGGAAUUUCCUGUGUAGCGGUGAAAUGCGUAGAUAUAGGAAGGAACACCAGUGGCGAAGGCGACUACCUGGACUGAUACUGACACUGAGGUGCGAAAGCGUGGGGAGCAAAC